AACUAAGAUGACGGGGCCGCACAAGCGGUGGAGCAUGUGGUUUAAUUCGAAGCAACGCGAAGAACCUUACCAGGUCUUGACAUCCCCUGACAACCCGAGAGAUCGGGCGUUCCCCUUCGGGGGACAGGGUGACAGGUGGUGCAUGGUUGUCGUCAGCUCGUGUCGUGAGAUGUUGGGUUAAGUCCCGCAACGAGCGCAACCCUCGACUUUAGUUGCCAGCAUUCAGUUGGGCACUCUAAGGUGACUGCCGGCUAAAAGUCGGAGGAAGGUGGGGAUGACGUCAAAUCAUCAUGCCCCUUAUGUUCUGGGCUACACACGUGCUACAAUGGCCGGUACAGACGGACGCAAAGCCGCGAGGUGGAGCAAAUCCUAAAAAGCCGGUCUCAGUUCGGAUUGCAGGCUGCAAUUCGCCUGCAUGAAGUCGGAAUCGCUAGUAAUCGCAGGUCAGCAUACUGCGGUGAAUACGUUCCCGGGCCUU
rnacentral:rRNA from 1 species